UACGGAGGGUGCAAGCGUUAUCCGGAUUUACUGGGUUUAAAGGGUGUGUAGGCGGACUAUUAAGUCAGUGGUGAAAUCCCGAGGCUCAACCUCGGAACUGCCUUUGAUACUAUUAGUCUUGAAUGUUGUUGAGGUGGGCGGAACGGGUCAUGUAGCGGUGAAAUGCAUAGAUAUGACCCGGAACACCGAUUGCGAAGGCAGCCCGCUAAGCAACUAUUGACGCUGAGGCACGAAAGCGUGGGGAUCAAACAGG
rnacentral:rRNA from 2 species